GUUGAGGAAACAAGUUAGCUUUUCUAACACGAGGGGGAGACAUGAUAAACACUUGAGAAAAGAUUACAUGGGAUGAAUUAUCAUUUGUAUAUUUAAAUCCCCGAAUAUCAUGAUAUGAACCUAAAGUUCAUAAAAUGGAUAAUUCAAUUACAACAUAUUGCAAAGCUUGCUAUACGCAUUUGCUGACCCAAAGAAAGUAACUAUAUUCUCACUACAAAUACUCAUAUUAAGUCCCAGAAGG
rnacentral:lncRNA from 1 species